CAAAGCUACAGGAGACAAAUCACUUGAGUCAAACGAUGUCCUGAAACAAAUUCUGAAGGAGAUGGUGCAGGGAGGACAAGAGGUGGACAUAGAGGCUCUGUGGAAGGCAGCAUUUCCUGAAGGAUGGGAGGCGAUGCCAGGCAAGGCCACAGGCACAGGAGACUGGGAUCAAGACAUGGAUUAUCUGGAGUCCCGGCUGGAUGAUGGUUUGAAGACCUUGGCACAUGCUGGAGGCAAGUUCUCAAUGUCCCUUUUUCCUGACACAAUGAUCAGUGUCACUGUGGCAAGAGCUCACUCAGGUGCCACUCUCGUUAACGUCACCUCAAGGCCGAAGGAUUCUGGAAACCUUGCCCUGCUCCUUUCUCGAGCCCUGAGUGA